GUCGAGCGGUAGAGAGGUGCUUGCACCUCUUGAGAGCGGCGGACGGCUGAGUAAAGCCUAGGAAUCUGCCUGGUAGUGGGGGAUAACGCUCGGAAACGGACGCUAAUACCGCAUACGUCCUACGGGAGAAAGCAGGGGACCUUCGGGCCUUGCGCUAUCAGAUGAGCCUAGGUCGGAUUAGCUAGUUGGUGAGGUAAUGGCUCACCAAGGCGACGAUCCGUAACUGGUCUGAGAGGAUGAUCAGUCACACUGGAACUGAGACACGGUCCAGACUCCUACGGGAGGCAGCAGUGGGGAAUAUUGGACAAUGGGCGAAAGCCUGAUCCAGCCAUGCCGCGUGUGUGAAGAAGGUCUUCGGAUUGUAAAGCACUUUAAGUUGGGAGGAAGGGCAUUAACCUAAUACGUUAGUGUUUUGACGUUACCGACAGAAUAAGCACCGGCUAACUCUGUGCCAGCAGCCGCGGUAAUACAGAGGGUGCAAGCGUUAAUCGGAAUUACUGGGCGUAAAGCGCGCGUAGGUGGUUCGUUAAGUUGGAUGUGAAAUCCCCGGGCUCAACCUGGGAACUGCAUUCAAAACUGUCGAGCUAGAGUAUGGUAGAGGGUGGUGGAAUUUCCUGUGUAGCGGUGAAAUACGUAGAUAUAGGAAGGAACACCAGUGGCGAAGGCGACCACCUGGACUGAUACUGACACU
rnacentral:rRNA from 1 species